GUACUGGAGUCGGUUGCCAUUUCCUUCUCCAGGAGAUCUUCCCGACCCAGGGAUUGAACCCAGGUCUCCCACAAUGUAGGCAGAUGUUUUACCAUCUGAGCCACCAGGGAAGUCCAGUAGUAACUAGCUAAAAGCAAAUUAAAGCCAUAAUUAUACACCCACCAGAUUGGCAGAGAUGUAGAAAAGUCUGACAAUUCCGAGUGUUAACAAGGAUGUGGAACCACAGAUCUUUUACCGCAGAAUUCUUGGGACACAGUGGAAGGCCCUGAUGCCCUAGAACGCACGAGUCCUGAGUACACAGCCUAGAAGCGUGUGCGCGCGGGUCAGAAGCACAUACGACAGUUGCUAGCGGCGCUAUCUGCGAUUCUCCCAAACCGCAAACCAAACGUCCAUCCACAGGAAAACGGAUCCAUGAACUACGAUACCAUCAACAGAAGUUUUCUGCAAGAAACUACACCUAUGCACAGCAACCUGGAUAAACCUGGAAGACACGACAUGCAGAAGCCAGAUGCCAAAACUUGCAUGGGAAAUGAAAGGAAAAGGAGGCGCCUCAGCUCUGAGUAGCUCAGGGUGUGGCCAGGAUGCAGCUGGAGGGAGACACAGGGGCAGCCAUCAGGCAGCCUCUGAGGUUUCUGAGGGCGGCAGAUGGGUCAGGGCUGCUCUAUGCCCUGUGACUCUCCCUCCCCAGAGUGCUGGUGGCCUGGCCACCAGCAACCAUCUCUAAUGUGUGUGCAGGCUGCCCGGCCAGGGGCUCCCUGCUGCCAGGUCACAGCCAGAAGGGGGCUUCGGUCCUCCCCUCACUGCCCCUCCUCUGGGGACGCAGGUUUGUCCAUCACCAGUUCCCUCUCCUGAUGUUCCCUGGGUGGCCCUGCCAUCCCCUCCAGAGGCCAGCCCAGUGCCGCCCAGCUGGACAAGAAGCCCCUUGGCCCCAAGCCAAGACCCCUGGUGCUCAGCGGGGGCUGCUGGAAGCACUCCCUACCCCACUCCCCGCCCAGGCCAGCAGGGGGCGUCCACGCCAUGUGACCCAGAGUUGGGGUGGGGCAGGGAGCAAUCCCAGUUUGUUUCGUCAGGUCUCUUCUGGUUCUAAAAGCACGUUUUCACAAUAAAAAAUCACUAUUAACA